rnacentral:lncRNA from 1 species
GCUGGGUAUAUGUUGCUGAGAUAGCUUUUCCCAGCACACUCACGGAAGGAUGGGGUUGUGUAAACAUGAUGACUAUAGCAAAACACCAAUAGGGAGGGAUGAUGGGAAAGCCAAACACAGGUCAGGUCAGUAAAGGAAGCACAAGUCCAGGGGCCAGUUCACUCUUCUACCUGAAGCAGAGACAGCACCAGCUCCUGUAAUGUCGGAAGAAUUAUGACUGCCCAGCCAAACAAAGCGUAGAUAACACCACACCCUGCACUUUUCACCUGAGCAAAUGUCACCAAGAUCUCAUGCACGUCAUCUGCCUUGGAAUUCAAGGUCUCCUUGGGAGUCUCAUGUCCUUGCCAAGCCUUCGCCAGGCUCUCGCCACUGCCGUUCCUCUACCAGCCCAAGUCUACAUUCUGAGGCUCUAGGAACACGAGAGAGAACUCCAGUGCUCACAUCCCAUAUUGACCCUCUUUAUGUUCUUCAAUUACCACCUACCUGAAAAAGCCUCAAAGUCUCAGGGGAACAUUCUGGAGUCCCUGCUGCUGAAGAGGGUUUUUUGAGUUUUGGUCGUCUUCCAAAGUUUACUGUAUGAAGUCUUAGUGCUUCACUGGAGUUUGUCAUAUGUCUGGAUAAUAAAUAAGUUUCAAAAAUGUAACUAACAUAAGUUCCAGUUGAAUUUCCAAGGCUAGCAGAAUUGUGUUCUUCUUCCUCUCCCUUUCCCUCCUCCCUGCCUCCACCAACUGCCACAGCGUAUAUUAAAAGCUGACGUGCCAAACUUUGCCUUCCGGCAGAAAUUACCUCGGAAAUAAAGCUAAGAUUCCAGGGGUCCUGGCCUUGAAGAGAAUCUAAUCCAAGAAGACAAGCGGAACUGAGAGGCCUAGGAAGACUUAAAGUUGGAAGGAAAGAAUUCACAGCUAAUUUGGAGGAUAAACAGAAAAGUAGUUCAGCAUAAUGUGAACAUUUUUCCAUGUGCUACAGCAAAGGAAGAGGAUUUGGGAUAUUUAAGGAGGAGAGUUGCCCUUUCCACCUUAGCCUGCUUUUCUCAGAGUUGGCAUUCAACCACCAAAACAGCCAGAAACCAGAGGGCUGUUCCCACACCCACAAUUUAUAUAGCUUUACUCCAUUCAUAGCAGGUAGAUAUCUAACGACACUUAAGGCUUCCUACCAAAUUUUUACAAUUUCAUUUUAUUGCUCAUGAUUCUCUUUUGCUACUUUCAUCAGCUUUGUGUCCUGGAAUUUCACUUAGCCUGGCAGGCCUUCCCUCUGCCACAGCUAAAAGAGAACUCAAAUAGACUUUGUCUCGGGAGUGGGACAUGACCCAGUCAUAUGGGGUAGCAUAUAUCCCUUCCCGCACUAAUUGUUCUGCUUUUUUAAAUCCUUGCUUUCAAAAGAAAUGUAAUCCUUAUGUUUCUACCUCAUUUACACUUAAUUUAGGAAAGCCCUCUUUCAUAAGAGCUGUGUGAUGUCCAAACAGCCUUCUUGACACACACGCCCCUCUUCAAGAGCCUCUAGAAGUCUUCCAAAGUCAGAACCAAUGCCUUCUGACUCUAAAUUGAAAAUCCAAUUAAACACGCAAUUUAGGUGAAUACCAGAAAGUUUACCCUUGAAUUUUCAGCUAGCGCCUACUCUCACAAAAGUAUUUGAGAGCAUCGAAAUUCUAGAAUCUAGAAAAAGAAUCUGUAGUGUGUGCUAACAAUUUACUUCUCUAGCAUCAAUAAUUUCUGACCCUGCAGCAAGUCCCAGCACCAGGAAGUGACGCAUUUGAAUUCCAUAGGUCACCUUAGCAUCUAGUAGCAAUGCCCAAGACAUGGGCUCCAGAGCAUACUUCCUGCAUUUGAAUCCUACCUUUACAUCAUAAGUUAUUUGUAAAUAUCAAAUGAGUCAAAGCAGGCAAAGCACUUAUUGUAGUGCUGGACGUAGUCACUACUCGGUCCCAUUACCUGUGAUCACUAGGCUUUUGCACACUGCUCUUGGUGCUUAUUGGGAACAAUAUAAGAAUUUACUGUAUCUACAGGAAGAUAUUUCUGCAAUUUUUGUAAAACUACUUUUAAAGAUACUGCUCAUUUUUCCUUUUAAUGUCCCGUCUAGUAAAUAAGCCUUUGUUAAAGUAAUGUUAGAUUACUCAAGCUAGAAAAACAGAAAUGUGCCCUCCUGAUUAACUAACAGGCUUCCUUUAACUUUAAUAUCAUAAACACAGAUGAGUGACUAGUUUUUCAUUCUUAUUUUAUUCUUUGCUUUGGCUGUCAAAAAGUCAGGGUUUAUGUUUGGCUAUAGUAGCAAUCCUGAGUUUAGCAAUAAUAAUAGCUCUCAGUUAUUUACGAAAAAAGUGCUAAUGUUUAAGAGCAUUUUGUAAUGUUAUUGUCUGAUUUUUGCACUCCAAAAAUAAAAAUUAAAAGAGGGCAAUUCCUGCAAAUAAAUAUACCUGAAAUUAAUACACAAGAA